rnacentral:misc_RNA from 1 species
GGUGUAUCUCGGUAUGUACACUGGCACAUGUGUGUGGUAAGACAUUACAAUCGGCACAGACAGAAGUUUAGCAAUGAUAAGAGCACCAAAUACCAUUAUACCAGGUGAUGAUGCAUGUAUGAUAUCAGGCUUGAAUUGUGCUACCUCUGAGAUUAUUCUAGGGCUGAGAGCAAGUGAGAGAGGUACUUUCGCGUAGCAGGGGCAGGGAAAACUUCGUGAUCCUAUCAACUUUGCCCCAUAAAAUUCUUCAGGUACUCCUUCAUGUGUUGUCACAACCAUAACCUCAUCCCCCAUUUCUCGGAGGUACUUUAUAAAAUUUUGGAACCUGUUCUUAUAUCCAGAAACAUACGAAAAAGGAGAAGGCUCAACAAAG